GCUCUCUGGAGAAGCCCGCGUCAGCGGGUGCCGAAGGUGAAAGCGGAGCGUCUCUGCGAAUCUCUCAGGCAAAAGGACAGGGAA
rnacentral:ncRNA from 1 species